ensembl:lncRNA
AAUGGAAGUGAAUGAGAUACUGUGCACAUGUGGGUGAUUCAUUAUUUUGGGGGAUCAUUCAAGCCCUGGGCUAGCCCACUCUUCUGCUGGUAAACCCGAGCCCUGUGAUUUGUUUAAUAAAGUUAUGUCUUUUUGGUUGGUAUCUUUACUCCGGCAGCAACUAUUUGUGCGCUGCAAAAAAGGAAUUCAAAAAGUUGAAAAAAAGCCUUAUUUCUGGGAAGUGAGUUUUAUUGUUUUGUGUAAAAAGAAAAAUAAUCUUGCCACACGUGUUUUGCAUUAGAAAAGUAAUCUCAUUAUAAGAAAAAAAUAUUUGUCGUAACAUUGUCUUAAGAUCUUCCAGCUAAUAUUGAGCUGGAUUUUAACCAGUAACAAGUUACAACAAUGGUUUGCAUAAUAUCCCCAGCAGAGGAAAAAUAAUGUUUUCCUUAUUUAAAAAUAAAAAUGCUAAAAAUAACAAUGCUUCUAGUGUCUUAAUGUAAGAAAAGUUGUUUAUUUUUAUUAUGAUGUUUGGAGUAUUUGUGUCUUAUUGUAAGUUUUAUUUUUGCUAACUAUUAAUCUUAGAUUAAGGGGUAAAUUCUUAGUCAGCUCGGUCAAGAGAACAAAAUAAUACUUUGCUGUGCUUGUAAUAAGCACAACUUGCUUAAAUUUUUGGCAUUUUUGCCUUGUUUAAAGGCCCAUUACAGGCUUUCAGUGGCUAAACUUUUAUGCUAGUUUUAAAAAUUCUAGCCAAGCAAAACUGGCUUACUGCAUUGGCAUAUUUUCAUUGCUUGAUACAAGAUAAUAUGAUUAUUUUAAAGAAUAUUUUAUUCUUUCUAGUAGGGCUGUUUUUGCUGUGUGAGUAAGCAAUUGCUCUUGCGUGUGUAAUUGACAUUCUGCAUUUGAUCAAAUCUCAAUGUAUUUAUUGCUGAGAAGUCAAACCUGUGUGUCCUUUCCCUGAUGUAUUCACCAGGGUGGCAGUAGUCGGUUGCCUAUUUCCUUUAAGACCCCUUGUCCAUCACACAUACAUCUAUUUUGGGGACAAAUAGAAUUGGAAUUUACUAAAAUUAGUAAAAGAUUAAUAUAUGACCAGUAGACAGUUAUCUGACACUUAAAGUUAAACAAUAUCAAGAGUCAGUGAACUCAGUGUGGUGUGGUGGUCAACUGAUUUGCUGUGUUUUUGUGGACAGUGAUGAGACAGUGAGGGAAUUGUGGUUAGUGUCAGCUGUUUAUAUGAAGUUUUACUAUGAAGAUUUUAUACAGUGACUUCUAUUCACCAUAUAAUUGUGAGUGGUUCAAUGUGUCAAAUUCAGCUCCAGGAUACCCAGUUUGAUCCUGAGCUCUGUGAAGAGUUUCACAUGUUCUCUCUGUUUCCAUGUGGGUUUAAAUGAGAUGGUUAAAAUCUAAUGCCUAUUGACAAUGGUGGAACAAUAUCCUUUUUGCCCAAAUGGGUUUCAGACUGUGUUUACAAAAACUAGACAGACAGGUUCUGUCUUCUGUCCUUUGGUGUACUUCGUUCUUUGAUUGGACAAUGUGUGCUUAGUCUAUCUACUCUUAAUUUCUCCUUCAAAUGCAUUUUCACUGUUUGUAAUUACCUGCCACAACUGUCACCGAUAUGUAGUGUGGGCUAGAAAGAAAUCAGUCCCAGCCUCACUUUUAUAUUUCUCCUAUGACCAUUGGUGGUGCUGUUUGAUUCCACAAAAAUCCAAAAUAAUCCACUUUAAAACAUCUCUUCAUAGCAACUAAUCUGAUGUUUAUGGCAAAAAUGAAACCUUAUACUUGUCUACUUGUAUACUAAUGUAUUUUUGAUGUCUGGUAUAAAUGUACAAGCAGUGGGGGUUAGCUCAUUUAUACAAGCCACCCUUGAUAUAAGGAGCAUCCAGUAUCAUUAGCCUUUUGACAGAAGAUCUGUGACUGUGAAUGCUACAUACACCGAUCAGCCAUAACAUUAAAACCAGUGACCGGUGACGUGAAUAACAUUGAUUAUCUGGUUACAAUGACACUUGUUAUUGUGGGAUAUAUUAGGCAGCAGGUGAACAGUUGAUGUCUUGGAAGUAGGAAAAACAGGCAAACGUAAGGAUCUGAGUGACAAGGGCCAAAUUGUGAUGGCUAAACGACUGGGUCAGAGCAUCUCCAGAACAGCGGGUCUUGUGGGUUUUCCCAGUAUGCAGUGGUUAGUACCUCCCAAAUAUGGUUCAAGGAAGGACAACCGAUGAACCAGCGACAGGGUCAUGGGCACCCAAGGCCCACAGAUGCACGUGGGGAGUGAAGGCUAGCCUGUCUGGUCUGAUCCCACAGAAGAGCUACUGUAUCACAUAUUGGUGAAAAGUUAAUGCUGACUAUGAUAGAAAGGUGUCAGAACACACAGUGCAUCAUAGCUUGCUGCGUAUGGGCUUGCAUAACCCAGACCAGUCAAAAUGCCCAUCUUCAUGUCAGAUACCACAGCACACCUUCAGAGGACUUGUGGAGUCCUUGCCUCGAUGGGUCAAAGCUGUUUUUGUGGGGACAUACACAAUAUUUUGCAGGUGGUUUUAAUGUUAUGGCUGAUCAGUUUAUCUGUCGUAUGCGAAAGUGUAGUUUAAAAUUUGGUAGUAUGAAUAUGGUAGUAUGGAAAAAAAGCAAUAGCAUUAUAAUUGCUCAAUCUUCAUCAUUCAUGCAUCUGGAUACACCAUGUGUAAUCACAUAAAAGAACUUGUAAAUUACUGUAGAACAAAUAGUUCUAGUAAAUUAUUUACAU